rnacentral:rRNA from 1 species
GAUGAACGCUGGCGGCGUGCCUAAUACAUGCAAGUCGAGCGAACGGACGAGAAGCUUGCUUCUCUGAUGUUAGCGGCGGACGGGUGAGUAACACGUGGAUAACCUACCUAUAAGACUGGGAUAACUUCGGGAAACCGGAGCUAAUACCGGAUAGUAUUUUGAACCGCAUGGUUAAAAAGUGAAAGACGGUCUUGCUGUCACUUAUAGAUGGAUCCGCGCUGCAUUAGCUAGUUGGUAAGGUAACGGCUUACCAAGGCAACGAUGCAUAGCCGACCUGAGAGGGUGAUCGGCCACACUGGAACUGAGACACGGUCCAGACUCCUACGGGAGGCAGCAGUAGGGAAUCUUCCGCAAUGGGCGAAAGCCUGACGGAGCAACGCCGCGUGAGUGAUGAAGGUCUUCGGAUCGUAAAACUCUGUUAUUAGGGAAGAACAUAUGUGUAAGUAACUGUGCACAUCUUGACGGUACCUAAUCAGAAAGCCACGGCUAACUACGUG